GCCCCCCGCCCCCGCAGGCCGGUCAGAAGUACUGGGGCGCCGCCAGCCCGACCCACAAGCUGCCCCCAAGCUUCCCGGGGAACAAAGACGGUGAGAGCUGCUGCUUCGAGGCGGGGGUCCCGGGCCCAGGGCCACCUGGGGGAGGAAGUGGGGGGGGGUCCCUGGGCCGGGGGCGGGAGCAGGGGCAAGGCAGCGGCGGGCCUAAGUCGCGCGCCCCCUCAGAGCUCAUGCAGCACAUGGACGAGGUCAACGACGAGCUCAUCCGGAAAAUCAGCAACAUCAGGGCGCAGCCGCAGAGGCACUUCCGCGUGGAGCGCAGCCAGCCCGUGAGCCAGCCGCUCACCUACGAGUCGGGUCCGGACGAGGUCCGCGCCUGGCUGGAAGCUAAGGCCUUCAGCCCGCGGAUCGUGGAGAACCUGGGCAUCCUGACCGGGCCGCAGCUCUUCUCCCUCAACAAGGAGGAGCUGAAGAAAGUGUGCGGCGAGGAGGGCGUCCGCGUGUACAGCCAGCUCACCGUGCAGAAGGCCUUCCUGGAGAAGCAGCAAAGUGGGUCGGAGCUGGAAGAACUCAUGAACAAGUUUCAUUCCAUGAAUCAGAGGAGGGGGGAGGACAGCUAGGCCCAGCUGCCUUGGGCUGGGGCCUGCGGAGGGGAAGCCCACCCGCAAUGCAUGGAGUAUUAUUUUUAUAUGUGUAUGUAUUUUGUAUCAAGGACAUGGAGGGGGUGUGGUGCUGGCUAGGGGUCCCUGCCC
rnacentral:sRNA from 1 species